rnacentral:rRNA from 1 species
CAAUAGCGUAUAUUAAAGUUGUUGCGGUUAAAAAGCUCGUAGUUGGAUUUCUGCCGAGGACGACCGGUCCGCCCUCUGGGUGAGUAUCUGGUUCGGCCUGGGCAUCUUCUUGGAGAAUGUAUCUGCACUUGACUGUGUGGUGCGGUAUCCAGGACUUUUACUUUGAGGAAAUUAGAGUGUUCACUGCAGGCAUACGCCUUGAAUACGUUAGCAUGGAAUAAUAAGAUAGGACCUCGGUUCUAUUUUUUCGGUUUCUAGAGCUGAGGUAAUGAUUAACAGGGAUAGUUGGGGGCAUUCGUAUUUAACUGUCAGAGGUGAAAUUCUUGGAUUUGUUAAAGACGAACUACUGCGAAAGCAUUUGCCAAGGAUGUUUUCAUUGAUCAAGAACGAAAGUUAGGGGAUCGAAGAUGAUUAGAUACCAU